CUCAUUUAAAUACCUUUUAAAAUGCAUGAUCUUCAUGGAAUCCUUGACAUAUUUCAACUUGGACAAUACUCUGAUCACAAGUUGACCUUGCAUUUCUAUAUCCCAAACUGCACUAACUAUUUAUAAAAAGUCUUUAAGUUUAGCAAGCUGGUUCUGAAACCUAUAAGGUUUGCCUCCAUGUGGCCUAUUGAUUGUGUAAGGUUGAUGUACAAAG
rnacentral:lncRNA from 1 species